rnacentral:lncRNA from 1 species
UAAAUCAACUCAAACCUGAACUCAAUAAGCAAGUUCAACACUUUAACACUAUCUUUAGCUUGUAAAUAUAUUGUCGUGUAGUUUCGUGACCUCACUUAGUCUGUUGUCCAUGUCUAGUUUACAACAGAAGAUGCUGAUUCAAUUUUUUCCACAGAUUCAGAACUUCAGACUUUUGAAAACGAAUUUUGAAAACGUUCCUAAUCUGUGCCUGGUAUGACUUCGAAAGGUCGAGAGCCAGUAUUUUUCUUCUUCGACAUCGAAGCCGCGAACAGUUCAGUUGGUGCUGACAUAAUUCAAUUUGGGUUACGUGCGAUCCAAGUGUCCAUUUGAUGGCAGAGUUUAGUGCAUUUGUGAAAACAAAGCAGAAAUUAUCAUCAUUCACCAUCAAACACCAGAUCCUUUUCCUCUUGUUUUCAAGAGGAUGAUGAAAUGGGUGACCAAUAGGACUUUGGCAGCAAGCAGGAAAAGUAGAAAAAAGGGAAAACAACAGAAAAUGUUUUACCCAGUUUUGCUUGCUCAUGGUGGCAAUCGGUCGGACUUUCCGAUGUUGGUGGACAACAUCUCUCGCCACAAAGCCUCAUCUGGCUAUUUGUACCCGAGACUUCGUGUGGGGGACACAUACCAACUUUGUGUAAAGCUUCAAGAAAACGGUUUGCCAAUAUUUGACAAACAAACGAAAUUAGGAAUGGAAGGUUUGCACAAAUUAUUCUUCCCUGGUGAAGACUUUAAAGGUACGUGUUUUCUUAUAGGAUCGCGA